AGCAGCCGCGGUAAUUCCAGCUCCAAUAGCGUAUAUUAAAGUUGUUGCAGUUAAAAAGCUCGUAGUUGAAUUUCGGGGUCAGUAGGCUGGUCGUGCCACAGGUACGUACUGGUCUCACUGAUUCCUCCUUCCUGAUGAACCGUAAUGCCAUUAAUUUGGUGUUGCGGGGAAACUGGACUGUUACUUUGAAAAAAUUAGAGUGUUUAAAGCAGGCUAACGCUUGAAUACAUUAGCAUGGAAUAAUGAAAUAGGACGUUCGAUCCUAUUUUGUUGGUUUCUAGGAUUGACGUAAUGAUUAAUAGGGAUAGUUGGGGGCAUUAGUAUUCAAUUGUCAGAGGUGAAAUUCUUGGAUUUAUUGAAGGCUAACUACUGCGAAAGCAUUUGCCAAGGAUGUUUUCAUUAAUCAAGAACGAAAGUUAGGGGAUCGAAGACGAUCAGAUACCGUCGUAGUCUUAACCAUAAACUAUGCCGACUAGGGAUCGGAUGAUGUUAAUUUUUAAUGACCCAUUCGGCGCCUUAC
rnacentral:rRNA from 1 species